rnacentral:rRNA from 1 species
GACGAACGCUGGCGGCGUGCCUAAUACAUGCAAGUAGAAUGCUGAAGGAGGAGCUUGCUUCUCUGGAUGAGUUGCGAACGGGUGAGUAACGCGUAGGUAACCUGCCUGGUAGUGGGGGAUAACUAUUGGAAACGAUAGCUAAUACCGCAUAAUAGCAGUUGUUGCAUGAUAACUGUUUGAAAGGUGCAAUUGCACCGCUACCAGAUGGACCUGCGUUGUAUUAGCUAGUUGGUGGGGUAACGGCUCACCAAGGCGACGAUACAUAGCCGACCUGAGAGGGUGAUCGGCCACACUGGGACUGAGACACGGCCCAGACUCCUACGGGAGGCAGCAGUAGGGAAUCUUCGGCAAUGGACGGAAGUCUGACCGAGCAACGCCGCGUGAGUGAAGAAGGUUUUCGGAUCGUAAAGCUCUGUUGUAAGAGAAGAACGAGUGUGAGAGUGGAAAGUUCACACUGUGACGGUAGCUUACCAGAAAGGGACGGCUAACUACGUG